UGGGGAAUAUUGCACAAUGGGCGGAAGCCUGAUGCAGCGACGCCGCGUGAGGGAUGACGGCCUUCGGGUUGUAAACCUCUUUCGACAGGGACGAAGCGCAAGUGACGGUACCUGUAGAAGAAGCACCGGCCAACUACGUGCCAGCAGCCGCGGUAAUACGUAGGGUGCGAGCGUUGUCCGGAAUUACUGGGCGUAAAGAGCUUGUAGGCGGUCUGUCGCGUCGUCCGUGAAAACUUGGGGCUCAACCCCAAGCUUGCGGGCGAUACGGGCAGACUUGAGUACUUCAGGGGAGACUGGAAUUCCUGGUGUAGCGGUGAAAUGCGCAGAUAUCAGGAGGAACACCGGUGGCGAAGGCGGGUCUCUGGGAAGUAACUGACGCUGAGAAGCGAAAGCGUGGGUAGCAAACAG
rnacentral:rRNA from 1 species